rnacentral:snoRNA from 1 species
ACAGGGAGCCUUUCAUAGUGUCCCAUGCUAGAGCAAACUAUCAUCCCAAACCACUGCCUGGCCUCGACCUGUGGGCUGCUGGCACUGAAGGGGGUUGCACAGAG